rnacentral:rRNA from 1 species
GAUGAACGCUGGCGGCGUGCCUAAUACAUGCAAGUCGAGCGAACAGACGAGGAGCUUGCUCCUCUGACGUUAGCGGCGGACGGGUGAGUAACACGUGGAUAACCUACCUAUAAGACUGGGAUAACUUCGGGAAACCGGAGCUAAUACCGGAUAAUAUAUUGAACCGCAUGGUUCAAUAGUGAAAGACGGUUUUGCUGUCACUUAUAGUUGGAUCCGCGCCGCAUUAGCUAGUUGGUAAGGUAACGGCUUACCAAGGCAACGAUGCGUAGCCGACCUGAGAGAGUGAUCGGCCACACUGGAACUGAGACACGGUCCAGACUCCUACGGGAGGCAGCAGUAGGGAAUCUUCCGCAAUGGGCGAAAGCUUGACGGAGCAACGCCGCGUGAGUGAUGAAGGUCUUCGGAUCGUAAGACUCUGUUAUUAGGGAGGAACAAAUGUGUAAGUAACUAGGCACGUCUUGACGGUACCUAAUCAGAAAGCCACGGCUAACUACGUG